rnacentral:lncRNA from 1 species
GCUUUAUUGAAUAUAAUUCAUACACCAUAUAAUUCAUCCAUUUAAAUCGUACAAUUCAGUGGCUUUUAGUACUCAGAAUGGUGUAACCAUCACUGUAAUUAAAUUUAGGAUAUUUUUAUUCCCCUAAAGCAAACUUCCAUUCCUUAGCCAUCACCUCUCUAAUUCUCUAAUUUUACUCAAUGCGAGGCAACAAUUAAUCUGCUUCUGUCUCUGUAGUUAAUUUGCCUAUUCUGGGCAUUUCAUAUAAAUGCAAUCACAAAAUAUGUUUUCUUUGUAACUUGCUUCUUUUACUUUCAAAU